AACGAACGCUGGCGGCAUGCCUAACACAUGCAAGUCGAACGAAGCUUUCGGCCUUAGUGGCGCACGGGUGCGCAACGCGUGGGAAUCUGCCCUUGGGUUCGGAAUAACAGUUAGAAAUGACUGCUAAUACCGGAUGAUGUCUUCGGACCCAAGAUUUCUCGCCCAAGGAUGCGCCCGCGUAGGAUUGGGUAGUUGGUGGGGGAAUGGCGCACCCAGCCGACGAUCCUUAGCUGGUCCGAGCGGAUGAUCAGCCACACGGGGACGGAAACACGGCCCAGGCUCCUGCGGGAGGGGGCAGUGGGGAGUAUUGGACGAUGGGCGAAAGCCUGUUCCAGCAAUGCCGCGUGAGUGAUGAAGGCCAUAGGGUUGUAAAGCUCUUUUACCAGGGAAGAUAAUAACAGUAACUGGAGAAUAAGCGCCGGCUAACUCCGUGCCAGACGCCGCGGUAAGAC
rnacentral:rRNA from 1 species